CUUCUGGAUACAUUUGUAAUGGAUAAGGCCUCUUUACUAAGGUUAUCUAGUAUUCUAUGAUCUCCAUUAAGGUCUAUGUUUAAAUAUUCACAUUUAGUUGGUACAAAUUAGGAUCCAAAUAUAGCCCACACAUUGCAGUUGAUUGUUACCUCUUUAAAGUUUCAUUCAUCCUAAAGAGUACACACACACAAAGACACACACUUUUUUAAUGCCAUCAAUUUGUUGGAUAAAACAGGUCAUGAGUCUGUAUAGUAUUCCAACAGUCUGUUGUUGAUUGUCUUUUUAAGGUAUCAUUUAACUUCUUUAUCUACUCUAUUUGUUUUGAUUGUGGUUAGAUAUAAAAAGUUUAAUUAGACUACAGCUCAGGCUGGGGAUACAGCUCAUUGGUAGAGUGCUUCCUUCGUAUGUACAAGGCCCUGGGUUCAAUCCCCAGCACCACCAAAAAAAAAAAGAGAGAGAGAGAGAGAGAGAGAGAGAGAGACAGACAGACAGACUACAGCUCAUUUUUUAAGGAAGAAUACUUGGUAAGUAUGGUAUUUUUUAAAAUUUGAUAUCAACUUUAACAGAACAUUUUACCCCUUCAUAAGAUCUUUUUUUCCUUGUUCUUCUAGAAAGCCUCUUAUGUAGGCAGCCUCUCCAAACUUAAAGCCCAUUCAUGUUGAGUCAUGUGACUGGAUCCCUGCUGAUACAAGCUUCUGUUCUAGGGUACUGAAACCAGUUUUAUUUUAGCCCCUUCAACCUUGGCAGAAAACUAAGAAUUGCCUGAAAUACUUUUGAAAGCUAUUGGAAGCCCAAGAAAAACCUGGAUUUGAAAAAGAGAUAAUUGAGAAUUGAGGAAGGAUGCUUCAACCUUCGACAUUGAAUAUACUGGUUCACAGGCUGAGACAGGACCAUCCUCUUGGCUGCCUUUACAGGUCAGGGAAGGGCUGAGACAAUACACCUGUUUUCUGCUUCUAAACUCUUUGACUUUAGGUUAGUUUAAAUGAAGUUUCUCUUGGUAGAAUGUAAAUAUGGAAGGCUAUCAUAUACAACAGCGAGCUCUGUGUCUGUCUCCAUCAUAGUGAUUCCCUGGGCACAAUAAGAAAGCCAUGGCUGGAAUGUGGGGAUGUGGUGUUCCUAUCUCCUUAUAACACAUUCUCCCUUGUAUUUUAUGUGGUGUUUGAGGCAUCUCUCAAGGCCACAUAAUAAGAAGUUUCCCACCAAACAAAGCAAAGGAAUAUCCAUGAUGUGAGGCUCCCAGCAUUGUCUAAGACUUAAGAAGGCAGAAUAAUUCUUUUCUUUUUCUCUGGAUCCCAGAAAGUAAAAACCAUGUAUGGUUUUUCCCCUUAGGUUAUUAGACAAAGUCAGAUCUUCCAAAUCUUGGUUUGCCUGACCAUUCAAAUCCACUACAUCUUCACACUGUUGGUAAAGACCUAGCAUCACUGGGAAAGAAGAUGUAAGGUACCUUUGCAACCUUCUCCACCAACCUUAAAACUGGAAAUGCUCGAUUGAGGUGCCAUUAUAUUUUUCAGAUAUAUGCCAGAGGCAGUUCUAAGAAUGUAUUAAUAGGAUGGAGAUAGCUCAAGACAAGAGCUUCAGAGAGAAAAGAGCUGUGAAGUGCUUUAUUUAAGAGGGUGGCCUUUCUUUUGGGACUAGAUUCAAGUAUCUUACUUUGUCCUUUUUAUCUUAUUGGACAGGCUAUGUAAUAGAGACUUUGAAUUUUGACUUUGAGCUGUAGAAACACAGAAACUUUCCUCAUUCUUUUAACUUCUGGUUGCUCAUUUUAUUCAUUACUAUUUUAUGGUGUAGGCAACGUCACUGGAAGGUCAGUCACAGAAACUGAGAAUCCAAGAAUAGAGAAAAACUCUGAACAUAAAACAUUGUUUAAUUCUAUGUUUUUAAUUAAAAUUAUUUUAUUUACUUAAUCUUUGCCCAAUUUAAGAUAGAAUGUUAAACAUUUUUUUUUUCUGUUAAGGAAUGACUUUGUCAUAUAUGAGCUGUUUUUGAGAAUCCUUAUUACUCUUGUGUUUUCCUAAUGUGCUUCUUCAGGCAUAGGAAGCAAUUCUUUCUCUUUUCUUUAGAAUAUUUAUAAGUUUUUAAGUGGACAUUCUGAUAAGCCAUAUUCUAUUUGCAACAUUCCUUCUUUGGUCAUAUGGUCCUUAUUGCUCCUUUGAUUAUUCUAUAAUGUGUGUGUAGUAAGUAUAGGAUUAAUGGAUUCAAUGGAGUAUAGGCAAACUAUAGUAAAUGAGAGGCUGGAACAGCAUCUUAUUUCUUUUUGUUUUGAGCAAUAAGGAAAAAAGCAAAAUUGAAAGAAAGAUAAUGCUUUAGGCUUGAGUUUAUACAAAAAAAACUACAGCAGUUUAAAGUUUCUUUUAAACGUUCUUGUUCAGCAAUUCUUAGAGAGUGGAGUGUUUAUUAGACAAGCUCCGACUCUUUAAUACUUUUACCUUGUACAUGAUGGAACUGAAGUUCCUGUGGUUUUUCUAGAUCAAAUGGAUACUUAGUUGGUAAGUCUACUUAAGUUUCUCCCCUAAUAUCGAUGUUUGUUAAACUUAAUCAACAUUGAGUAAGAAUGGCAAAUGUUUACCUUAGAAAAGAUUAAACUAAGUUUUCACUUGAAUUGCCUUUCUAUCAAGGAAUAUUUCUCAUUUUAUAAGAAAUCUUAGUUUCAUUUUCAACAUUGUCACUUCAUUCUGUUAUGGGUAAAUACUAGAACUUCAAAAUGGUAAGCCCCUAUUAUAUGAUAUAAGACUAUAAAUGCUUUUGCUGUACCUUCUAAAAUGCAAGGUGAGUACUUCUAGGUUGUUUUUCCUGAGUUUUCAACAGCAUUGAAUAUAUAUACACCCACCAAUACAGGGAGGACAAAAAUUAUUUAAAUGUAAAUGAAGAAGGUUGGUGACUAUUUCAAAGGUGAGUCAUGAAUCUUUUGUCCCUCAGAUUCUCUAGAUAAAAAAUAUGAAUAAGUUGGCUCCAAAAAUUGUAAAUCUGCCUCUUAUUUGAGACCUGGUAUGCAUGUUGCUCUUGCAGGUGCUGUUCAGGUUUUGUCUUUUCCUUUCAAUGUCCUCCAUGUGUUCAAUUAUCUUCUCCUGGCACUCUACUUUUGGAGAGAAGCUUUGUAGAGCCCAGAGGCACCAUUUUCUUUUGUCUUAUGUUAAAUUGCUGUGCCCAGUCCUUCCCUGUGAAUACAUACAAUUUGUAAGCUGAGCAGUUCGUAUGGGCUCCCUAGCAAUGUUCAGUCCAUAUUCAAUUCUUUCUAUUGCAUAGGCAGUUUGGGCUUUUAAGCAAAUAAGGGAAUAAAUUUAUAUAAAUAUUAUAUAUAUAUUAUAUAUAUAUAUAAUAUAUAUUAUAUAUAUAUUAAGUUAAAAAAUAAAAGCUUGACUAUCAGACAUGAAUCAGAUGUGCUAUACAGACUAAUCCAUUAUUCGAGCUUAUCUGGAACUGCAUGAAUUAAUCUUAAUCAUGUCUAUUCUUUUGAAAAUAUCAACAGUUAAAAAUUGCAUGUCUUAUUAUUAAAAAUGGUUUUGGAGCUGAGAUAUAAUCUCCUAAAUGAAGGAAUAAAAAUAAGAGCAGGAUGAGCCAGCAACCAUUUUUCUUCCUAAAAAUUUAAAAUAAAUGGAGAUCAAGGAAUGUUAGACAUUGUUAAAUAAAUCAGAGGUCUUGUGACAUUUCUGAUAUUUUAUUAACAAAAUUUUGAUUUGAUUUAUCUCUUUAAAAUAACUAGCAAGGUAUUCUCUAAGUGCUAAAACAUAAAUUACAAAUGCAAAAGCUUGAUUUAUGUUAAUGGUUGAUAAUGUGUAGGGCAUGGCAAAUGAUCACAGGUUCUGCAAUAUUCCCUGAAUGGAAGGAUAGAUUCAGAAAAGUACUAAAGAAAGUGCUGCCUUAGGCUCCAUUUGUUGAUAUAUAGAUGAUGGCUGUCUUCUAAGAAAUGAUAUAAUCUUGAUGAUGUGAACUUUCACUUCCAUUUCAGACAUCUCCAGAUUUUAGUGAAAUCUGCUCGACAGUUCUGAGUGCUGCCCUGUCUCCAUGAUGGAUCAGAAAUGUGCAGAUCUCUACAAGGAUAGCAUAGGAAUUUAAAAAAAAAAAAAAAAAGUCUGACUACUACUUAGUAGUAGUAAUAUUACUGAUCUCUUGCAGUAAUAUUUACAUUUUUAUAUUUCUCAACAUACCUUCCUUUCCCCCACCUCUUAGACCCUGAAUAACACCAGCUGAAUUGCCAAUUCCCAAUUCUAUGUCAAUCCGAGAUAUGCCUUCUCUAGAUUACUUGGGUUGCUCAGUAUUUUAAGAAAAACCACAUGAUCCUGAAAAUUGGAACUGCUCCACAUUUUUAUUUUCCAGACUCAAGUAUGUUUGUUCCGUCUGCAUCAUUUAGCCAUCUUCUUGUGCUGUGUAUGGUUGUCCCCUUCUGAUCCUGUAUGUCUCCCCUUAAAUGUGACUCACUCAGAGAAUCCUUCCCUGACCUUCUUAUCUAAGUAGGUUCCUUCUCACACACUGCUCUGUUUAUUUCAUGACACUUUACACUCUACAAUUCUGUUUUGGUGUUCAUCUAACUUGUCUGUCACAACAACAAAAUUUCUUGUGCCCAGGGACAGAAUCUAUGUUAGUAAUUGGAGUAGUGGUGUAGUUAUUGGCAUGUAGCAAGCACUCAGG
rnacentral:lncRNA from 1 species